AGCGGCAGACGGGUGAGUAACACGUAAACAAUCUGCCCUCGAAUGGGAGACAACCAAGCGAAAGUUUGGCUAAUACCCCAUACAAUCCUCUUGAGGCAUCUCAAGGGGAUGAAAGGCCCGCAAGGGUCGUUCGAGGAGGAGUUUGCGGCCUAUCAGCUAGUUGGCGGUGUAAAAGACCACCAAGGCUAUGACGGGUAGCCGAUCUAAAAGGAUGACCGGCCACAAGGGCACUGAGACACGGGCCCUACUCCUACGGGAGGCAGCAGUGGGGAAUUUUGGACAAUGGACGAAAGUCUGAUCCAGCGACGCCGCGUGAAGGACGAAGGUUUUCGGAUCGUAAACUUCUUUUGCAGGGGACGAACGCGCGCAAGCGCUUGACGGUACUCUGCGAAUAAGCCACGGCUAACUACGUGCCAGCAGCCGCGGUAAUACGUAGGUGGCGAGCGUUACUCGGAAUUACUAGGCGUAAAGCGCGUGUAGGCGGGAGGUUAAGUCUGCUGUUAAAUCUCAUGGCUCAACCAUGAAAUGCCGGCGGAUACUGGCCUUCUUGAAUUCGGUAGAGGUAACUGGAAUUCCAGGUGUAGCGGUGAAAUGCGUAGAUAU
rnacentral:rRNA from 1 species